rnacentral:lncRNA from 1 species
CUUGGACGUGGCGCUUGGUCUAGGUGACACAGUGGUGGCCAGAGGUCUUUUCUAGCCCCAGUGGAUCCUGUGAUUCCGUGAAAAUGCAGUAGCAGGAGGCGAACGGGGAGGGAGCGCGCCCAUGUCGCUGCCCCGGGUGCGGCACGGGAGGCUCGAAAGGGUAGAUUUUUGUCUGUGACAAGCUUCAAUAUAUCUGUUUUUCGUGCCGCCUGAGACACACUAAAAGCCAAAGGCUGCUGUCUCCACUUUAAUAUAUAUUCUGGGUUGUUGGAAGAAUUGAACUGGGACACAUGGACAGCAGCAUGUGAGAGCUUCAAAAAGGAUGUUAUGUGUCACUUGAACUUGGAGAAGUGCUGAAUUUGAGGCAGAUCCAUGGAAGGAUGUACUGUGCCCCCUUUGCCUGGUCACUUCUUGGCAGUGUGGAAAACAAUGAGUUCUGACUGAAAUGUUUGUAUGGCCCAGAUCUAUUUGUUAGAAAACACUGUGGAAAAGCUAGAGGCACCAAAAGGGAGCCUUCAAUACAGAAACUAACUGCAAGCCUCUGGAAACACUGAAGCUCAAAACAAUGAAAAUCUCUGCAGUUAUGGCAAAGCAGAGUAUCAAAGGACAGCAAAGUCACCCUGACAGGUCAGUAGUUUAAAGUAGCUAUAAAUAAAACCUGAAUUCUCCAGUUGUGCCA